UAAAGCAGGCAAAAGUUUUAUUGGGGAAGUAAAAGGACACUCCAAAAGAGGAGUGGGCUGACCCUGCUGGAAACAGCCCCGGGAUAUUCUGCAUUUGAUAUGCUGUGGUCUUGCUUUUUUCCUUGCCCACUUCUCACCAAGGCUUGGGGAAUCAUCCCUUACUGUGGUUAAUGGACGUGCACUGGACGCUGUGAUCAAUACAAAUCCCACCCAAUGGGAACAUUGCUCAUUACUGCCACCCGGGAAGGGCAUAUAGCCAUCAAAUUUGUACUCAUUGCACCUGUGUGGCUCUCAAGAAUUCUGCUUUUGCCUUUUUUCUCCCUUAUCAGGAUCUAGUUAACCACACUUUGACAGUUCCACCACAGAGUGAGUACUGGGCAUCUUAAGAGGUGUUCUGGGCUGUUCCUUCCAACAUGGGUACUUCCCCUCCUGCCUGCUAAUGUCUGACUAACUGCCUCCUCUUACAUUUAUCUCUUAAGGAGUUGGGACCCAGAAAUCUUUUGGGAAAUAGGGCGGAGGUCAUUCUUCUGUAACUACUUCCUGCUGCAAAGGGGCGUCGAGGGUCUUCUGGUCCCUCCUCCUUGCUUGCUGUCAUGGCAAGAAGCUUUCAGAGGUUGUUGUUGUCUCUCAAAAGGUUUGACCCACAGUGUCCAGAGGAGACAUGCAGAAACUUGCUUGUCCUCAAGGUUAGGAAAGAGGUUGAUAUCCUUGUCACAAGACUAUUUGAAGUCUGACGGCUUCUAGAUGGGACGAAAUAAACUUAGUUAGUAGAUUCAAGAAGCAAGGCCCAGAAAAGAGAAGAAGGAAGAUAGAGGUCAGGGGUCCCAGGAAGGGGAGGGGCCAUGAGAAUCAGAACCAGGUGACACCCCUCAGCAGCCCCUUCCCAAAGAUGAGAAGCCUAGUUUAUGAGAUCUCAAAUGUGCUCCUGAGCCUGCCCUGAUCUCUUAACCCAGAUCAGUACUCUUCUCCAAGCACAGUCAAGUUCCUCCCUGAGCUGCAACCAGCAUGUCAAGACCUCUACCACGUUUGAGAACUACAGCUGCGAGAGAACUGACUUGUCACUGUAACUCUUUUAUAGCAAGCAGUCAUUUCUAUCUCUUGAACCAAUUCCAGAGACAGGCUGUGGUAGGUUCAGGAGUAAGUGCCAAUGCUGGCUAUUCCUAUUGUGGCACCUGUGGUAAUGCCAAGCCCAACAAGAAAGGGAACUAAUUGAAUUGCUUGGUGGGCCCCAGUAAUAAGAGCAAGGGCCGAGAAGCAUCACCUGGGGCAAUGAGAUGCUAGGGUUUAGGUAAGCCAGCAUGGGUGUUCUGGUCCACUUUGCAGAGAAGCAUAGGUGGGCCUGUGUCCCACACAGAAAGCAAAGUUCUGUCAUAGGCAGACAAGAAUGGAUAUGGAAGGAGGCAAAGUCAAUUCCAAACAUUACCAAUAUCCUCAUUGG
rnacentral:lncRNA from 1 species